rnacentral:snRNA from 1 species
AGAGAAUUACUUGAACCCGGGAGGCAGAGGUUGCAGUGAGCUGAGAUCGUGCCACUGCACUCCAGCCUGGGUGACAGAG